UACGUAGGGUGCGAGCGUUGUCCGGAAUUACUGGGCGUAAAGAGCUCGUAGGUGGUUUGUCGCGUUGUUCGUGAAAACUCACAGCUUAACUGUGGGCGUGCGGGCGAUACGGGCAGACUGGAGUACUGCAGGGGAGACUGGAAUUCCUGGUGUAGCGGUGGAAUGCGCAGAUAUCAGGAGGAAUACCGGUGGCGAAGGCGGGUCUCUGGGCAGUAACUGACGCUGAGGAGCGAAAGCGUGGGGAGCGAACAGG
rnacentral:rRNA from 1 species